rnacentral:rRNA from 1 species
UACGAAGGGGGCUAGCGUUGCUCGGAAUCACUGGGCGUAAAGGGUGCGUAGGCGGGUCUUAAGUCAGGGGUGAAAUCCUGGAGCUCAACUCCAGAACUGCCUUUGAUACUGAGGAUCUUGAGUUCGGGAGAGGUGAGUGGAACUGCGAGUGUAGAGGUGAAAUUCGUAGAUAUUCGCAAGAACACCAGUGGCGAAGGCGGCUCACUGGCCCGAUACUGACGCUGAGGCACGAAAGCGUGGGGAGCAAACAG